UCAACUACACAAAAAAAAUUAAUUUAGAAAUGGUGGGGCCCACGGUGGCCCACAUGUCAACUACACAACAAAAUAAAUAUGGUGGGGCCCACGUGGACCCCGUAUGUAGGCUGUAGCAAUUUCUUUCUCCUCUCUAUACCCUUCUCCCCUACCUUCCCAUAUCAGCCAUUGCCGUCGACGAAGAAGCUUCGCGUGGGUGGUAGAGCGGGGCGGAGUGAGGGGCGGCGGCGCGGCGGAUCCUCGCGACCACGUACGGCUUCGUCUUGACGGCACCGACGACGCGGAACCGGUCGCCGCCGACGUACCCCACCUCGCCGGCGCACCCCGCCCCCACUCCGCGCGGGCCGCCGCCGCCGGAGUACACGACGCCGAUCCUGGAGCCACGUGUGCACCAUGGUCCGGUUCCUGAACUCGAACGCCUGGAGCUGCACCGUCGCGCCGGGAAGACCACUGACGGGAACAGCACGAUGGGGAUCUCCGCCGCUUGCUCCUGCCGCGGCGCCCUCGUCCACGCAGCCGUGCAGGUUGCUGCCGCCCCUGCAUGUUUCCCAUCAAACGUGUACUAGCAACUACAACCAGCAACACCAUGGAUUGUUAGUUGAGAUGAUCACAUCUUCCAUAUAUAUCAUAUCAGUUAUCCCCAGCUCCUAGGUUUUUUCUCCAGCUAUGAUCAAUGAUUCAAACGAGUACACUUUGUCCGAUCCACAGGUCUGAAUAUUCCAUCCGCAGAGAAUUCUGAGACGACGACGACGAAGAAGCUAGAUGGAACUUGCAGAGUCUUGAGCGCCGUGGUCUCCUCCUCCUCCUCCGCGGCAGCGGCGGCGGGCUGCCUCGAGCUCCCGUCCACGUGCGGCUGCGACUCGGCGGGCGGCGGAGCCAAGCGGAGGGCGCCAGCCUCGUCGUCGUCGUCUUCCGGCACGAAGCCGGCGGGGCGGGGCGGAGCGGGGGGCGGAUGGCAGCGCGAAGCCGACGGGAUGGACUGGGGCAGCGACGGGCGGACGCGCGGGCGGAGUCUUCUUGAGGUCGUCGUCCCCGGCGCCGCCGUGACCGUGGCCGGAGAGGGGAGAUGGGGAGAGGGGAGGAAGAAGAGGUAGGGGUGAGUGACAUGCGGGGCCCACGUGGGCCCCACCAUUUUUUAUUACUUUAUGUCUAAAACUGACAUGUGGGUCCCAUGGGGUUUAAUAUUUUUUCAUAUCAAGUUGCCACGUCACCACCAUGUCAAUGCCACGUGAGACAAGGAGCUAGUCAAAGGGAGCCACGUAGGUGCCACAUCAUUUAAAACCGGGCACAAUACUGCCGAGGGACUUUUUCUGCAUGGUUUUGUAAGUUGAGAGAUGAGUUGUAUCUGGUUUUGCGACCAAAGGAUAGAAAUAGGACUGGACGACAGAUAAAGGGACCCAAGUGAACUUAUUCCCAUGCGGAACAACCUACAAUCCGGCUUCAUUUAGAAUGGGCCUCAAUUCAAGCCCAUUUAUCUGUAUGGGCUAGAAUUUAAGUUCAAAUCCUCAUCCUUUUCACGCUUGAUUGGGCUGGGAUUAAGGCCCAUUUAUACACGGCCACCAUGCUUCUUUUUACCAACGAACGAACUGUCGCAUUCAAAAGAAGAGAAAACACCCCCCCUUCUUCUUUCUCCUUGACGUCAUGUCAGUGAACUUGUUUUCCUUUCCCUCCUUCAAAAACCAUGUAAGCAAAUCCAGGAGAGAAAAAAAUAAAGAUCUAGACAUCGGACGGCACUAUCCAAGUUUACCACAUCCUGCGGGCAGAGCUCGCGUCACUGCCGUCACACCGUAGGGAGUUUAACGCGCCUAAGCAUCCACACCCCUCGCCGGGCGUCCGCAUCAACGCUGCUGCUCCCGUCGCCGUGCCACCCACUCCACCAUCAGUCCAUCACAUAUUCUCUCGUCCUAUCUCUGAUGGCGCUGUCCACAUGCGCCACCGUGGCACGCGCCGCGCCGCGCCGCGUCAGGCGUCCGUCAGCGGGUGGAAACCCACCGGUAAUGAGAACGAACGCCACCGCGACCACACACAGAACCCGCUCGGAAACACAAACAUCGGCGUUGAACGCGCGACGAAUUCCAACGCGAGAACGCGCCCAAAACCGCAAAGCAGCCGAGCUUCUCUCGCGCGCGCACCAACCGCCGCCCGUGCCCGGUGCUCCCCCCACUCACGGCACUACAACAGGAAUACCCCUCCACCAACGUAUAGGCUGCAACGGAAGUGAUAAUCGUUGUUAAGCAUCCGCUUUCAACCACUCGGCCACGCCCAGCGACCCAAGUCAACAGAAACGCAACCAACCAUUAUCUUUUCCUGAAAAACCUCCCCUCACAAUCCUCGCCCGAUCGAAAAGGAUCGUGAUCCCAGAUCGCUGCCGUGUCAAUGCUGCGCCGCCCCGGCCCGAGCACCGCCGCCUCGUCCCUGCCCUGACCCCGCCGCAUCCUCCAGUUCUGCCGUCGACGCUGCGCCGCCUCGACCCGCAUGUCGCCGCUUUAUCCUCUCCCGUGCUGCGCCGACGGCUGACCGGCACGCCGCCGCCUCAUUGCCCCGAUCGCGAUGGCCCCUGAAUCCCCUGACCCUGUUGCCUGGACCGCCACAUCGUGCUCCAUCUCGUCCGCUGCUGUUCUCAGCUGAUCUGGUUGAUCCCUAGUGACUUAGUUAUUAGUUAUUGAUCAUGCCCCAAGUUUCUCGAUGGAAUUGCAAUGUAAGCUAAGUGAUUAGUGAAUCUUGUGGCUAUUUUUCUGCUCUGGUAUGUGGUAAUGACAUGAACCAUGCCUUUUUUAUUAACUUUAUCAUUAUACAGUGCAGAGUAACCAUAAAAAGAUAUAAAGUUCAUAGCUCAGAUUGUCGACUUUUUUUAAUUAGUUUAAGUUAUGUUUUGCCAAUUACUACCUGCUACCAGAUACAUAAAUUUAACAUGUGGACAGUUGUUUGUUGCUGUUCUAUCAUCUAAAAGAUGAGUGUAUUCAUGCCACAGAAAUAUUCUGCUUUUCUUAUGUCCAAGUUCCAUUUAUUUCAGUGUGAAGAAUUAUUAGCAGAGAAUUCUUAACCAGGGAUGGUUCCAAAGAUGCUUGGCACAAAAAUUUAGCCAUUGGUGAAAGCAAAUAAUUUGAUCCAAAGAGUAACUCUGGCUGUUAAGUGACAAAUUGAGAUCUCAUUCUGCUACAUGAACAAUGGGAAAGCCAACCCAUACUUCGGAUUUUUUCCAAGCUGUAAUGGGAUGUUAAAUGUUCAUUUCCAUUACAUAUCUUUUCCUGUAAUCCAGUGACAUCUAUUUUAUGGUGAAGUGUUGCCUUGAGGAUGAUGGGAUAGAGGAAGAAGAAAUUGCUAAGGAGAAGAUAUUGUUGUUGCUGCCAAGUGCCCAAGUUACAGAAACUAAUGUUGAUCUGGUCACAGAGAAAAUUCAAGAUGAUGUUUUUUUUUUUUGCAAGAUUCAACAUAUGUUUGUACUACACUCACUAAUAUGCUGUGGUGUAUACACAAGUUGUACUUAUAAGAGAUUUGUGAAUUAAUAUAUUGUGAUUUUUUUCUUAUAGUACUUAUGAGUUUUUCUUGUCCAAAUGGAACCUAUAUAAGAUCGUAGUGUAAAUUAUUAAUUACAAAUUGGCAAGUAAGUAAUAUGUAUUUGGUAAAUGUGAA